rnacentral:rRNA from 1 species
UACGGGGGGGGGCAAGCGUUAAUCGGAAUUACUGGGCGUAAAGCGCACGCAGGUGGCUGAGUCAGUCGAUUGUGAAAGCCCUGGGCUUAACCUGGGAAUUGCAGUCGAUACUACUCAGCUAGAGUAUGGGAGAGGGCAGUGGAAUUCCCGGUGUAGCGGUGAAAUGCGUAGAUAUCGGGAGGAACAUCAGUGGCGAAGGCGGCCUUCUGGUCCAGUACUGACACUCAAGUGCGAAAGCGUGGGGAGCAAACAGG